AUUGAACGCUGGCGGCAUGCCUUACACAUGCAAGUCGAACGGAAGCACGGGUGCUGGCCCCUGAUGGCGAGUGGCGAAGGGGUGAGUAAUACAUCGGAACGUGUCCUGCAGGGGGGGAUAGCCCGGCGAAAGCCGGUUUAAUACCACAUGCGAUCUGCGGGAGAAUGCGGGGGACUUUCGGGCCUCGCGCUCUGAGGAUGGCCGAUAGGUGAUUAGCUAGUUGGUGGGGUAAAGGCCUACCAAGGCGACGAUCAGUACCUGGUCUGAGAGGACGACCAGCCACACUGGAACUGAGACACGGCCCAGACUCCUACGGGAGGCAGCAGUGGGGAAUUUUGGACAAUGGGCGAAAGCCUGAUCCAGCAAUGCCGCGUGUGUGAAGAAGGCCUUCGGAUUGUAAAGCACUUUUGUUCGGAAAGAAGUGCUUGGCGCUAAUACAUUCGUGGGAUGACGGUACCGGAAGAAUAAGCACCGGCUAACUACGUG
rnacentral:rRNA from 1 species